GGGUAGGUAGGCCCACCAAAACCUUCGAUGGAUAGGGGUUCUGAGAGGAAGGUCCCCCACAUUGGAACUGAGACACGGUCCAAACUCCUACGGGAGGCAGCAUG
rnacentral:rRNA from 1 species